rnacentral:rRNA from 1 species
GAUGAACGCUGGCGGCGUGCCUAAUACAUGCAAGUCGAGCGAACGGACGAGAAGCUUGCUUCUCUGAUGUUAGCGGCGGACGGGUGAGUAACACGUGGAUAACCUACCUAUAAGACUGGGAUAACUUCGGGAAACCGGAGCUAAUACUGGAUAAUAUUUUGAACCGCAUGGUUCAAAAGUGAAAGACGGUCUUGCUGUCACUUAUAGAUGGUUCCGCGCUGCAUUAGCUAGUUGGUAAGGUAACGGCUUACCAAGGCAACGAUGCAUAGCCGACCUGAGAGGGUGAUCGGCCACACUGGAACUGAGACACGGUCCAGACUCCUACGGGAGGCAGCAGUGGGGAAUCUUCCGCAAUGGGCGAAAGCCUGACGGAGCAACGCCGCGUGAGUGAUGAAGGUCUUCGGAUCGUAAAACUCUGUUAUUAGGGAAGAACAUAUGUGUAAGUAACUGUGCACAUCUUGACGGUACCUAAUCAGAAAGCCACGGCUAACUACGUG